AACGAACGCUGGCGGCAUGCCUAACACAUGCAAGUCGAACGAGACCUUCGGGUCUAGUGGCGCACGGGUGCGUAACGCGUGGGAACCUGCCCUUAGGUUCGGAAUAACUCCCCGAAAGGGGUGCUAAUACCGGAUAAUGUCUUCGGACCAAAGAUUUAUCGCCUUUGGAUGGGCCCGCGUUGGAUUAGCUAGUUGGUAGGGUAAAAGCCUACCAAGGCGACGAUCCAUAGCUGGUCUGAGAGGAUGAUCAGCCACACUGGGACUGAGACACGGCCCAGACUCGUACGGGAGGCAGCAGUGGGGAAUAUUGGACAAUGGGCGAAAGCCUGAUCCAGCAAGGCCGCGUGAGUGAUGAAGGCCUUAGGGUUGUAAAGCUCUUUUACCCGGGAUGAUAAUGACAGUACCGGGAGAAUAAGCUCCGGCUAACUCCGU
rnacentral:rRNA from 1 species